CCAAUAGCGUAUAUUAAAGUUGUUGCAGUUAAAAAGCUCGUAGUUGAAUUUCGGGAUCAGUACGCCGGUCGUGCCUUCGGUAUGUACUGGUGUCACUGAUUCCUCCCUUCUGAAGAACCGUUAUGCCAUUCAUUUGGUGUGACGGGGAAUCAGGACUGUUACCUUGAACAAAUUAGAGUGUUUAAAGCAGGCUCGCGCUUGAAUACAUUAGCAUGGAAUAAUGAAAUAGGACGUUUGAUCUUAUUUUGUUGGUUUCUAGGAUCGACGUAAUGAUUAAUAGGGAUAGUUGGGGGCAUUAGUAUUCAAUUGUCAGAGGUGAAAUUCUUGGAUUUAUUGAAGACUAACUACUGCGAAAGCAUUUGCCAAGGAUGUUUUCAUUAAUCAAGAACGAAAGUUAGGGGAUCGAAGACGAUCAGAUACCGCCGUAGUCUUAACCAUAAACUAUGCCGACUAGGGAUCGGAUGAUGUUAUUUUUAAUGACUCAUUCGGCGCCUUACG
rnacentral:rRNA from 1 species